rnacentral:rRNA from 1 species
CCUACGGGUGGCAGCAGUGAGGAAUAUUGGUCAAUGGGCGUAAGUCUGAACCAGCCAUGCCGCGUGCGGGAUGACGGCUCUAUGGAUUGUAAACUUCUUUUAUAUUGGAAUAAACACCGCUACGUGUAGCGGCUUGUAAGUAUAAUACGAAUAAGGAUCGGCUAACUCCGUGCCAGCAGCCGCGGUAAUACGGAGGAUCCGAGCGUUAUCCGGAUUUAUUGGGUUUAAAGGGUGCGUAGGCGGUUUGAUAAGUCAGCGGUGAAAGACCGUUGCUCAACACCGGAACUGCCGUUAAAACUGUGGAACUAGAGAGUAUUUGCGGCAGGCGGAAUGUAUGGUGUAGCGGUGAAAUGCUUAGAGAUCACACAGAACCCCGAUUGCGAAGGCAGCCUACCAAGCUAUAACUGACGCUGAGGCACGAAAGCGUGGGGAGCAAACAGGAUUAGAUACCCGAGUAGUC